GUUUGCUGUGAACAGGGGCGCUGUACGAAUACUAGCGUUGCCCUCAAAUUGUAAUUCCAAAUGUUACCGGUGCCUCUGCGCUGCUUCUCCUCGCACUAGGACGCCAUCCCACCGCUGCCACCACUGUAAUGGAACCGCUGGCACCCUGACCGGGUACCUUCCGCCGACGGAUGCUCCUAGUGCUUUCCGAGGACUCCAAGCACUCUGCCU